AUUGAACGCUGGCGGCAUGCCUUACACAUGCAAGUCGAACGGCAGCACGGGUGCUUGCACCUGGUGGCGAGUGGCGAACGGGUGAGUAAUACAUCGGAACAUGUCCUGUAGUGGGGGAUAGCCCGGCGAAAGCCGGAUUAAUACCGCAUACGAUCUACGGAUGAAAGCGGGGGACCUUCGGGCCUCGCGCCAUAGGGGUGGCCGAUGGCUGAUUAGCUAGUUGGUGGGGUAAAGGCCUACCAAGGCGACGAUCAGUAGCUGGUCUGAGAGGACGACCAGCCACACUGGGACUGAGACACGGCCCAGACUCCUACGGGAGGCAGCAGUGGGGAAUUUUGGACAAUGGGCGAAAGCCUGAUCCAGCAAUGCCGCGUGUGUGAAGAAGGCCUUCGGGUUGUAAAGCACUUUUGUCCGGAAAGAAAUCCUUGGCCCUAAUACGGUCGGGGGAUGACGGUACCGGAAGAAUAAGCACCGGCUAACUACGUG
rnacentral:rRNA from 1 species